ACUAUAGGUUAAUUAUUAUUCCCAUUUUACAGAUGAGGAAACUGAGCUUCAGUUAGGUUAGUUGUAAUAUGUAAUAUGCCAUGCCCAUAGUCAAGCAGUUAAUUAGUGCCAGAGGCAGGAUUUAGUCUCUAAAUGUUAACAGUAUACUCAUCAAGCCAUACUGCCUCUUAUUUCAACAGAAUUGUACUGAUAAGCAUAUUCUUCAAGGACAAGUUGAAUUGUUAACGAAAGGGCAAAAACCACAGUGUUUGAAAUGACCAGAUGGGUGUUGUCAUAGUAUUUAAGAGAACUAUAUGACCUCAGCACCUUAGCAGCCAGAUGAAGCCAAUGGGUCAGAAACCACUGCUCUAUGUGAUGCCUAGCCUUGAAUUCUAACUAGCCUGCUCAAAGAGAGGCAUACUGGAAUCUACAGUUGGCAUGCAGACUCCUAGGUUAAGGACCAUUAGAAAGAGAUGCCAUCAACCAGAAUGUGAGAGUGCUCACCUUCUAAUGCUAAAGGUCAUCAUCUUUGUCACUUUCAAAACAUUAUAAUUAUAACAUUACAAUUAUUCAGUGUUCCUUUACAUUUUAUUGUGCUGCUUGUUUACUUUGUUGAAGCUGUGAAUACUAUUUUCUUGGUGCUGUUUACUUCAUUAUGAUGAACUGGGGAAAGACAUGACAAAGAGACCAAUCAUAAUGCUAUUGCAAAUAGACUUAAGAGUGAGUUAAUGGGGGACUUCACCAGAAUGAAAACAGUGUUAUGAGAGAGAAGGAGGUAUAUAUCAGAGAUGUUAUAGGACUUGACAAAUGAUUUAAUAGGGGUAAGAGAGAGAUAGAAGUCAAGGAUAACUCUGGAUAAUAAUAGGGAAGUUAAGAAGAGGGGAGGCUCUGAGGAGAAAAAGAAUAUGUUUAUUUUUGGCUAUCUUGAAUUUAAAGUUUAUCUAUGGGAUAUCCCAGUUUUAGAUGUCCAAGAGGCAGUUGGAGAAAAAUGACUAAAACUGGAGAGAAAGGUCAGGACUGUAUAAAUAGACUGGAGAAUAAUCUACAUAGAAAUAAUCAUUGAAUCCUUGGGAAUUGAUGAAAUCAAGUGGAAUAGUUCAGAAGAGGAUCCAAGGCAGAACACCAGGGGAUACCCAUGGUUGGUGAGUAUCACCUGGAUGAAGCAAAGGAGACUUAAAAGGAACAGCCUGACUGUUAGGAGGAGAACCGGGAGAGUGCAAUGUCAUAAAAACCUAGAGGGAAGAGAGUAUCAAGGACAAGAAAGUAGUCAAGGAUGUCAGAGUCUACAAAGAGACCAAGAAGGAUGAGGACUGAAGUCUCAUGUCAGAUUGGCUAACAUGACAGAAAAGGAAAAUGGCAAAUGUUGAAGGGAAUGUGAGAAAACAGAUGACAUCUGGUUUCAGGAAGAGGACAUCUAUAGCUGCUUUAACUUCCUAUAUGCUGUGUUUUCAGAAGAAUUAAUCUUCUUUCCAGGAAAUUCACUAAAGACCUUUGAAGAAAGCUGAAGCCUGCUUUCUAAAAAUGAAGCCAUUCAAGUGCCUUCACAAAACAUUUUAGUUACAGACAAAAGAGAUACUGAGGUAUCAUUUUCAGCACUGCUCUUUAAGCCUUUUGUGGAAGGUUAUCAGAAGGGUUGCCAGUAUCUCCUGCAAGAAGAAAAUGAGAGCCUCACUGAGAAGCAGCACAAGGGCUGGACUGCUUACUAUCUUCUUGAAUCAGGAGACGGUCAGUAUUAUGAAUUGCUUUCUUCCAACCUGCAUAAAACACACUUGAGCUCUUGUUUGACUGGAUGCAGUACCAAAGUGCAAAGGAACUGAUGAGUAUGCUCAAAAGCAAAUGAUGAAGCCACUAUAAAGUUAGAAAAAAUGCUUAGUUCUAAGAUAUCCACAGGAAAACCAGUGACAGCAAGACUUUAACCUUUCCCUAUAGCUGGAUGAGGAAGAAUGUUACAGAAUGACUUUAAAAACAAAGCAGGAAUUCAAAAUAAAACACAUUACUUUUCAUCCUUAUGACUUCUUUGGGAGUAUCUAAAAAAGGAGAAAAAGGAAUUCAACUGAAGUAAUGAGUGUGAGCCUUUGAACUCUGAUGCUAAAAACUGCAUUUGUGCCAUCUUCCCUGAGUGUUUUUGAAUAAAAUAUUCUUUUGGAUUCACAAUUGGAAA